rnacentral:rRNA from 1 species
AUGAACCAAUCCGAUUUCUAUGUAAUGCAUGAUUUAAUGCAUGAGCUAUCUCAGAGUGUUUCUGCACAAGAAUGCCUCAAUAUAAGUGGCUUAGAUUUCAGAGCUGAUGCCAUCCCACAAUCUGUUCGACACUUAACUAUCAACAUAGAAGACAGAUAUGAUGCAAAUUUUGAGCAAGAAAUGUGUAAACUAAGGGAGAGGAUAGACAUUGCUAAUCUGCGGAGUUUGAUGAUUUUUAGAGAAUAUGAAGAAGAAAGAAUCGCCAAGCUUUUGAAAGAUAGCUUCAAGGAAAUAAAUAGUCUGCGUGUCCUAUUUAUAGUGGUGAAGUCUGCACAAUCUUUUCCAUAUAGGUUUUCAAAACUUAUCCACCUCCAGUACCUCAAAAUUAUGUCACCUUACUACGGUGAUCGUGAAACCAGUUUACCUAGUACACUAUCAAGAUUUUAUCACUUGAAAUUCUUGGACCUAGAUUAUUGGAAUGGUCGUUCUGAUUUGCCUGAAGACUUUAGUCACCUUGAGAAUUUACAUGAUUUCCAUGCUAGAAGUGAACUCCACUCCAAUAUUCGCAAUGUCGGAAAGAUGAAGCAUCUUCAGGAGCUAGAAGAAUUCCAUGUAAGGAAAGGGAGCAUGGGUUUUGAACUGAAAGAACUUGGGUCAUUGACAGAGCUUGAAGGAGCACUAAUUAUACGUGGUCUUGAACACGUGGCAACCAAGGAGGAAGCUACUGCAGCCAAACUGAUGUUGAAAAGGAAUCUGAAGGAACUGGCAUUACUCUGGGGCAGAGAUGGACCAACUGCAGAUGAUGAUAUUCUUGAUGCUCUUCAACCACACUCUAAUCUUAGAGUACUUACAAUUGCAAAUCAAGGUGGUACCAUUGGUCCUAGUUGGUUGUGUCUUGACAUCUGGUUAACAAGUUUAGAGAGACUCACUGUAGAAGGCGUAUCUUGGCGCACCCUCCCACCUUUUGCGAAGCUACCAAAUCUCAAGCAACUCAAAUUGAAGGAAAUUUCUGGAAUGCAUCAGUUUGGGCUUCGAUGUGGUGGCGCUCCAGGGAAAUGUUCUAUGCGCUUGAAGACAGUCGAGUUUUAUAAGAUGCCAGAACUUGCUGAAUGGGUUGUGGAACCUAACUGCCAUUCCUUUCCAAGUCUUGGAGAAAUCAUAUGCGUCGAUCAAGGUUUUGGUUGCCGGUCGAAAUUUUAA